rnacentral:rRNA from 1 species
ACGUAGGGGGCAAGCGUUAUCCGGAUUUACUGGGUGUAAAGGGAGCGUAGACGGUUAUGUAAGUCUGAUGUGAAAACCCGGGGCUCAACCCCGGGACUGCAUUGGAAACUAUGUAACUAGAGUGUCGGAGAGGUAAGUGGAAUUCCUAGUGUAGCGGUGAAAUGCGUAGAUAUUAGGAGGAACACCAGUGGCGAAGGCGGCUUACUGGACGAUGACUGACGUUGAGGCUCGAAAGCGUGGGGAGCAAACAG